rnacentral:rRNA from 1 species
AGCGGCGGACGGGUGAGUAACGCGUGAGUAACCUGCCUUUCAGAGGGGAAUAACGUUCUGAAAAGAACGCUAAUACCGCAUAACGUACAGUUACCGCAUGGUAGCAGUACCAAAGGAGCAAUCCGCUGAAAGAUGGACUCGCGUCCGAUUAGCUAGUUGGUGGGGUAAAGGCCUACCAAGGCGACGAUCGGUAGCCGGACUGAGAGGUUGAACGGCCACAUUGGGACUGAGACACGGCCCAG